AUUCCUCCUACUUGCAGACAUUCUGCAAUGAAAUCUAGUAGACCUAGGAGAGUAUGGCCUAUUAGUUUUCCUUGCCGAAAGUCUCCAUUGAUACGAAAUACU
rnacentral:pre_miRNA from 1 species